GACGAACGCUGGCGGCGUGCUUAACACAUGCAAGUCGAACGGAAAGGCCCUGCUUUUGUGGGGUGCUCGAGUGGCGAACGGGUGAGUAACACGUGAGUAACCUGCCCUUGACUUUGGGAUAACUUCAGGAAACUGGGGCUAAUACCGGAUAGGAGCUCCUGCUGCAUGGUGGGGGUUGGAAAGUUUCGGCGGUUGGGGAUGGACUCGCGGCUUAUCAGCUUGUUGGUGGGGUAGUGGCUUACCAAGGCUUUGACGGGUAGCCGGCCUGAGAGGGUGACCGGCCACAUUGGGAAUGAGAUACGGGCCAGACUCCUACGGGAGGGAGCAGGGGGGGAUAUUGCACCAUGGGCGGAAGCCUGAUGCAGCAACGCCGCGUGCGGGAUGACGGCCUUCGGGUUGUAAACCGCUUUCGCCUGUGACGAAGCGUGAGUUAAGGUAAUGGGUAAAGAAGCACCGGCUAACUACGUG
rnacentral:rRNA from 1 species